UCUUCUUAUCCAAUCUAAAUUUCCCCUCUUUCAGUUUGAACCCAUUACUCUUUGUCCUAAAAGAAGAAAUCAGAAACCAAAGCACCAGCCGUGGCUUCGCUCUCAAGAGUGAUUGAUUUCCUCAGCUUCCUCUCUUUUGGAGACUAUUUUGUGAAUUCCUUUUCCAUCAGGCCCCAAGGAGUGUGACUGGAGGCUGUUUUUCAACUCCUGGCACAGUGACAGGUCCUGCUGCAGCUCCAUGUGAGCUCCAGGCAGAGGGCUCUAGGUCCGUCCCAACACCCCUGGAGCAGCUUUCACAGGAUCAUGGAAUUUCAGGGUUGGAAGGUAUCUCUGGAGGUCACCCAGUCCAGCCCCCUGCCCAGGCAGGGUCACCCAGAGCAGGGGACACAGGAACACCUCCAGCCACUGCUCCUCGUCCUGUCUCUGGGCACCACUGAACAGAGUCUGGCACUGCCUUGGAAAUAUUUCCCUCUUGAAAAGGCUUUCCUAAACCAUGGUCUAGGCUGGGAAAUCAGGUGAGAUGUUGGAUAAAGUCUUGAGGGUUUGGUAGAGGUGAAAAAACAUGUUGUGUGUUACUGAGCUACUUGUGUUGACAGCUGAGUGCUUGGGGAGAGUUGCUGUGGCUCGAGGGGGGAGAGGCCACCUUGACAUGAGACUUCAGGGACAUUUUCUGCUGCCACAGUGGCCCCUCUGAUGUGGGCAGAGGUCACCCAUCUCCUGGGCUCUCUCCUGGAAGCCUCGGGAGUCUAAAGCUUGGUGUGUCAGUGCUGCUCUGUCCUGGAACGGAGAAGGUCCACGGCUGGAGUCAGCCUAACGAGUGGGGAAAGGCAGGGAAGGGAAAGCAGGAUACAAAGCAGGGAGAAGCCUUCGCUGAAGAAGAGGAACGUCAGUAAAAAGUGGGAGCUGUUAAGUUUGUGAUGAGUGUUGGGAAGGGGGUUUGUUAAUCCCCAAAUCCAAGGCCACCUUGGCUCUGUGUUGCCACAUGUGCAGGAAGGGGCCAAGACUGUUUAUUGCCAACCCCCCUGGCCCAGCAGCGUGACAGCACAGGCUGUCCUGGAGAGCCUUGGCCGUGCCCUGCCUCGACGGGAAACAGCUACGGGCUCUGUGUGAGGAGGAAAUGAGCAGCUUCCAAGGAAAACGUGGGAGAACGCAGAGGCUGGAAGGUGGACAGCGGCAGUUCUCCUGCACCCCUGGGGCAGAACAUCCCCAUCCUGGGCCGGGCUGGGGCAGCCCUGACCUCCCUGUGCCCCCUCCGCUCCCGUGGGUCUCACUCUGCCUUUCGAGUGUGUUGUGCUGGGUGGAAAUCUGGAAUAAACACAUUUCUCCAGCUUCCUCACGUAGUUUGAAUUUAACUCCCUAAUAAAGCGAUUGUUAUUUUUCUAA